GACGAACGCUGGCGGCGUGCUUAACACAUGCAAGUCGAACGGAAAGGCCCUGCUUUUGUGGGGUGCUCGAGUGGCGAACGGGUGAGUAACACGUGAGUAACCUGCCCUUGACUUUGGGAUAACUUCAGGAAACUGGGGCUAAUACCGGAUAGGAGCUCCUGCUGCAUGGUGGGGGUUGGAAAGUUUCGGCGGUUGGGGAUGGACUCGCGGCUUAUCAGCUUGUUGGUGGGGUAGUGGCUUACCAAGGCUUUGACGGGUAGCCGGCCUGAGAGGGUGACCGGCGACAGUGGGACUGAGAGAAGUGCCAGAGACCGACGGGAGGCAGAGGGGGGGAAGAGGGCACAAGGGCCGGAAGCCUGAAGCAGCUACGGCGCGUGCGGGAUGGCGGGCGACGGGAAGGAAAAGGCUUUCGGCUGGGAAGUAGGGAGGGUGACGGGAAGUAGUAGAAAAGCACAGGAUAAGUACGUG
rnacentral:rRNA from 1 species